GAUGCCCUGGAAUUGACACGUGCCUGUGAAGGAGACUGGAGUAGAUGUGGAAACAUACAUGGAUGUCCCCCUCUUUCACCACAGUUAAGUCCCACCAAAGAUGAAAAACAGCAGCAGAGUUGUCAAGGUUCUUCAUGGAAAUAAUUUAAGGCGUACAGACCAGCAGAGCUUGUUAUUAGAAACUCCACUGCAAAUCUUUCAAAGGGUAACAGGCCUGUCCAGAAAGCAUAAGAACCAGCCUUGAUGGUCAGAAUUUCCAUGCCCUGCAUUACCACAAACACAGGAAAAUGUAUUCAUGGAUAACUCAGAGAAGCACUCAAACCCUUGGGCAACCAACACAGGCUUCCACAGACCAUCUCCAUAGACCUCUAGCUAUCACGUAAUGUUCUUCAGAGUUUGCCUGACUUUAUGUGUUAUGAACUACUCCUAAAGCUUCCAUUCCCUAAAACUCAGCCCUCCAGCUGCUGCUGCAGUUAUUGCACAGAAUAAAAUGGCUCAGCAACUAC